UCCAGGAUCAUGCCCUGAGCCAAAGGUAGAAGCUCACCUGCUGAGCUACCCAGGCAUCCCAUAAAUAAAAUAUUUAUAAAAAAAAAAGAAAAAGAACACUUUAGAUUUACAGAAAAAUUGAGUAGAUAGUAUAGUUUCUGAUUACCUUGCACAGUGUCCUUAUAUUAAUAUGUACAUUGAUUGUAAGUAAUAAACUAAGAUUGAUACAUUAUUAUUUUUUAAGAUUUUAUUUGUUAGAGAGCAGGAGUGGGGGGAUAAGGUAGAGGGAGAGGGAUAAGCAGACUCCCCACUGAGCAGGGAGCUUGACUCCCAACUCAGUCCCAGGAGCCUGGGAUCAUGACCUGAACCAAAGGCAGAUAAACCAACUGAGCCACCCAAGCACCUUGAUACAUUAUUGUUAAUGAAAGCCUGUGGUUGAUUUAAAUUUUCUUAGUUUUUACCUGAUGUCCUUUUUCUGUUUCAGGAUCCCUUCCAGGAUAGUACAUCAGAUGUAGUCAUCAUGUGUCCUUAAGCUCCUCUUGGCUGUGAAAAUUUCUUAGACUUUCCUUGUUUUUGUAACCUUGAUGGUUUUGAGAAGGACUGGUCAGGUUUAGAAGUCUAGGUUGCGAGUAAUUUCUUUCAGCCCAUGAAGCCAUCACUCAUUUUCUGGCCUCCAUUGAUCCUGUGAAAGCCAGCAAGUAUCACUCCUAUAAAGGCAUCGGCCCAUCUAUUGCCUGAUCGCAGAGACCUUCGACAGUGUUGAGUAGUGGGCCACUGGUGGAUGGUGAGUGGAAUUCUGGUUGUGUCAAUACUUCUGGUUCAUUUUUCUGCAUGUUAUAAAAUAUUUCUUCCAUCUCUACUGUUGCUAGGAUUUGUGUUUUUUGUUAUUAAAUUUAUAGAAUCAUCUA